UACGAAGGGGGCUAGCGUUGUUCGGAAUUACUGGGCGUAAAGCGCACGUAGGCGGAUUUUUAAGUCAGGGGUGAAAUCCUGGAGCUCAACUCCAGAACUGCCUUUGAUACUGGGAAUCUCGAGUCCGGGAGAGGUGAGUGGAACUCCGAGUGUAGAGGUGAAAUUCGUAGAUAUUCGGAAGAACACCAGUGGCGAAGGCGGCCCACUGGCCCGGUACUGACGCUGAGGUGCGAAAGCGUGGGGAGCAAACGGG
rnacentral:rRNA from 1 species